rnacentral:rRNA from 1 species
GAUGAACGCUGGCGGCGUGCCUAAUACAUGCAAGUCGAGCGAACGGACGAGAAGCUUGCUUCUCUGAUGUUAGCGGCGGACGGGUGAGUAACACGUGGAUAACCUACCUAUAAGACUGGGAUAACUUCGGGAAACCGGAUCUAAUACCGGAUAAUAUUUUGAACCGCAUGGUUCAAAAGUGAAAGACGGUCUUGCUGUCACUUAUAGAUGGUUCCGCGCUGCAUUAGCUAGUUGGUAAGGUAACGGCUUACCAAGGCAACGAUGCGUAGCCGACCUGAGAGGGUGAUCGGCCACACUGGAACUGAGACACGGUCCAGACUCCUACGGGAGGCAGCAGUAGGGAAUCUUCCGCAAUGGGCGAAAGCCUGACGGAGCAACGCCGCGUGAGUGAUGAAGGUCUUCGGAUCGUAAAACUCUGUUAUUAGGGAAGAACAUAUGUGUAAGUAACUGUGCACAUCUUGACGGUACCUAAUCAGAAAGCCACGGCUAACUACGUG